UACGAACUGUGCGAACGUUAUUCGGAAUCACUGGGCUUACAGGGUGCGUAGGCGGUUCAUUAAGUCAGGUGUGAAAGCCCUCGGCUCAACCGGGGAAUGGCGCUUGAAACUGAUGGACUUGAGCGAGGCAGGGGUGCGUGGAACUUCUGGUGGAGCGGUGAAAUGUGUAGAGAUCAGAGGGAACGCCGGCAGCGAAAGCGGCGCACUGGGCCUUGUCUGACGCUGAGGCACGAAAGCUAGGGAAGUGAACGGG
rnacentral:rRNA from 1 species